GACGAACGCUGGCGGCGUGCCUAAUACAUGCAAGUAGAACGCCGUCGCGAACGGGGGAGAAUCGCGUAGGUAACUGCCUCAAAGCGGGGGAUAACUAUUGGAAACGAUAGCUAAUACCGCAUACGUUGGGAUGGACCUGAGUUGUAUUAGCUAGUGGGUGCGGUAAAGGCUCACCAAGGCGACGAUACAUAGCGGACCUGGGAGGGUGUGUGGCCACACUGGGACUUAGAGACGGCCCAGAGUCCUACGGGAGGCAGCGGUAGGGAAUAUUCGGCAAUAGACGGGAGUGUGACCGAGCGACGCUGCGUGAGGGAAGAAGGUGUUCGGGUCGUAAAGCGCUGUUUUGAGAGAAGCGAUAACUAACCAGAGAGGCACGGCUAACUACGUGCCAGCCGCCGCGGUAAUUC
rnacentral:rRNA from 1 species